UCUAGUUCCCAGGGCAUGGGUCUAUCAGCGUAGUGCCAAACAAUUAUAUAACUACCACAGUAAGCAAUGGCAUAAAAUACCUCUAGUUUGUUUACUGGCAAACUUCAAUUCACUGGGUCUUAAAUCAGUUAUUCAAAGGGGAAAACUGAUUUUCUUAUGUAAUGUGUGACUGCAGUACAAAUUAGACAAUAGCUCAAGUGGUCACCAGGUGGUAUAUGUGAUUUGAAAAUUAUUCAAGAUCUCAAUAAUUUCUUUUUAAUCUAUAAAAUAUAUUCUGAUAUUCCACAUAACAAGUUUCUCUCUCCUUCGUGCUCAACCUUGUUUAUGUCAGAAUUGUUCCACUAUGCAAGUCUUACUGGUUCAGGAAAAUGUUCCUCUUUCAGACUAAGAAUCAGUCUUUGAUCAUUUUGAUCACGCUUUGCCACCAAUUUCAGUGCCUAUUGUCUCUGACCAAACUGCUGCUGUGCCUUCUUUCUCCCCUCUGCCUUACAACCCCCUUCAGGUCUCUCCAACCCCCCUGGAUACUGCAGCAUUCUCCCAGUUGCCAGACUAUAACCCUAUAACUCGUGCUGUCAUAUCUCAUUCUUCUUCAGCCUUCCUCCUCACCACUACCUCUGAGCCUACAAGCUAUAAUUCAAUAUCCCCUAAACUGUUACCUCAUACAAUUUCUACCCAAACUCCUCUCUUGCCCAUACCAUGAUUGUCCACUCCUCCCACCUCUCCUCUGUCACCAGUUCCCCUCCGACCCUUGCUAUGUUGUAAGACAUCUGAUACCUGUCCCCUACUGCCAGCACCACUUCUGCCUCUCACCCUUUUUUGUUCAGCUCUCUCCAGUAUAAAGACAGCUUCUUCAAACCCAAAGGCUCCAUCCUCAAAUCCUGCCCACCUAAUUCCCCUCUGAAGUUGCAAGAAUAGCUAGGCUAGUAAAAGUUCAUAUCCCUUUCUUGUUAAAUUAUUUAUCAGUCUUAGGAAAACGUCUCGGGUGUUAUACAUUGGAUCCAGACACUUACAUUAAAGAAUUUAAAUAUCUUACUUAGUCAUAUGAUCUUACCUGGCAUGACAUCCAUGAUUUUAAUAACUAUCUUGACCCCUGAAGAUAGUCUGGGUAGCCACACAAAGAGAGGUGAUGAAGGGCAUGCCCAGAACAGGGAUAAGGCCAUGGACUUCAAGGCAGUGCCCAGCACAACCCUAAUUGGAAUUAUCAGAUGGUCGUGAGGACCUUAUUCUUCAAAAUGAUAAUGAUUUGUAUCUCAUUGAGGGCUUGGCGAAAGCCUCAAAUAAGGCAACCAAUUAUGACAAAAUUAGGAAAUCAUUCAGGAACCAAAUGAAAAUCCUGCCAAAUCCAUCUUCCAGAAAGGUUUACUUACGUAUACCAAAGUAGACCCUACUACACUAGAAGGGAUCAUUGUACUUCACUCAAAUUUCAUCUCACAAUCAGCUCCAGACAUUAAAAGAAAACUGAAAAGGUUAGAAUGUGGACCCCAGACUUCACAGCAAGAUCUUCUCAAUGCUGCAUUCAAAGUUUUCAACAGUAGGGAGGAUCAGGAAAAGUUAUAUAAGCUACAAUGAGAUAAGGUUAAAUGUCAAAUGUUAGCAAGCGCCCUCCAGGGCAGAGUGAGUGUGUCUAAACUAGUUAUUGGGCCACACACAAGUGUGCCACGAGGACCCUGCUUCAAAUGCUCCCAUUUCGGGCAUUGGGCAAAUGUAUGCCCUAAUCUGUGACCUCUAAGAAGUCCAUGUCCAUACUACAAACAGAAAGGUCAUGGGAAAUGACUGCCCAACUCGACAGAAAGUGGGUGGGAUAGUUUAUCCCACUAGACCUCCGGAGCAACCUGCUCAAGAUGCCUCAGUGUUAGAGCUGCUUGGCUUGACCUUGGUGGAUUGAUGGUACCCAGAGUGUAAGGCCCCACUGAAGAUCACCCAUCUCGAGCCCAGGUUCUGCUGAUUGAGAAACUAUGCCUGCCCUUUCCUUUUUCCCUUUCUGAAAAAGAUUUGCAGCUACAAGUUUUAUGUUCUUCCUCUUCAGAUUGAAGACUUCAUACAUAAACAAACCGAAGACAGUUGCUUCUGGACAUCAUUUCAGAUUUGUUCUGGCCUGUGCCAGUUAGAUAUUUUUAUGAAUGUAUACCUAGCCUUUCCGUGAUUUUCUUUUGCUAAAGGUCAGGAGAGGUAAGUUUGAUUACAUUUUGUCAGUGAUUACUCCCCUGCUACCCUAGGCACCAUCAAGGGAUUUAAAGGAAAUAUAUUUUUGUUUAUUAUCUACCUUUUGAGAAAUGUCCUGCAAUAAAAGAAGUAUUGUCAUAAUUCUGUGCUUCUGGGACAUCCUAUUCACUUUAACACAAGACGCUUUAAACUAUUAAAUAUUUUAGAAAAACUUUAUGCAGUUUAAAUGUCAUCCAAGACAUCUACUCUAGCAAAGUUAAUACUUUGGUGUUUUUCUGUCCCAUUGGGAACUCUCAGAAAAAAUACGAUAUUUAUUGUUGUUGUUUUUAAUAUUGCAAUUGUGUUGAAGAAAAGUUUACAGUAUGGCCAUGUUUGUUACUGUAAUUUCUGGUAAUAAGAAUGUAAAUCCUUUUUUUCUCCUCUCUUUUUUACUUUCAACCCAAAUAGUAACAUUCAUUAUAAAACCAGAAAUGAGAAACAACCUAAAUGUCUAAAAAGAAAUAAAUUGUGGUAUACAUCAAA